rnacentral:tRNA from 1 species
UCCCUACUGGCUAUAACAGUAAAGAAUCUGCCUGCAAUGCAGGAGACCUGGGUUCCAUCCCCGGGUCGGGAA